GUUGGGGGUUGGGUGGUUGCGGGGAGCCCUGGUGCUGGAGGGCCAGGGCUGAAGCUGCCGAGGUGGAGCAGAGGGUGGGUGGUGGCACCGCAGACUGCAGACUUAAACCCCAGUAACUGGGCACGCAAGGCUGGGGCGAUACAGGGCCACGGAAAUGGCAGUCAGGAGUGUCCUCAGGGGUGCAUGCAGAGGCAGCCGAGAUCUCAGAGAGCCUGGAUGUGGGGAGCCUUGAAACUACCACAAAGUGGUACUGUGCAAGCACAGUGGACCAGCGCUAGGCCCACAGGGGACUAGGGUCCACAGCAAGGGCACCGUCCAACUACAACUAAAGAAUAAAUAUUAAAUGUGUGUAUGGGAGGUGAGGAUUUACCUUGGGGCAGUUUUACACAUUGAGCUAUAUCCCUGUUUUUAUUUUUAUUUUGAGCCAGGAUCUCACUAAGGCUGACUUGCAGUCCUCCUACCUUGGCCUCCCACAUCUUUGGGAUUAUGGUGUGUGCUUCUGCGCCUGGCUAAACAUUUUUUAAAAAAUACAGUUGACCACAUUUAAAAAUCAAAUUUCAUGGCUCAGGGGACUGAGGCAGGAGGAUUGAAAGUUCAAAGCCAGUUUCAGCAACAUGGCAAGGCCCUAAGCAAUUUGGUGAGACCCUGUCUCAAAAUUAAAAAUAAAAAAUAAAAAAGAUAUAUGGAAAGGGUUGCCUCACAUGCACAAAGCCCUGGACUCAAUCUUCA
rnacentral:lncRNA from 1 species